rnacentral:rRNA from 1 species
UNGAUUUUAUAUCUUGAAACUGCGAACGGCUCAUUAAAUCAGUUAUAAUCUACUUGAUUGUAAAAUCUACAUGGAUAACUGUAGUAAUUCUAGAGCUAAUACAUGCAAAAAAUCCUGACUGUUAUAGAAAGGAUGUAUUUAUUAGGUACAAAAUCAAUGCUGGCACUUGUGUCAGGUUUAUUGAUGAUUCAUAAUAACUAAACGAAGCGCACGACCUUGAGUUGGCGCUGAUACAAACGAGUUUCUGCCCUAUCAACUUUCGAUGGUAGUAUAGAGGACUACCAUGGUUUCAACGGGUAACGGGGAAUUAUCGACGGUAUAAAGAACUACCGAUUUUAAAAAGAGAAACGAGUAGUCGACGAUUCAUUCGAAUUUCUGCCCCAUGCACUCUCGAUGGUAGGAUAGAGGCCUACCAUGGUCGCAACGGGUAACGGGGNAUUGUNCCCNACUUUUUNUUNCUAUAAGNUNGGNUUUUUUGCNUGUAUUAGCUCGAGAAUUACUACAGUUAUNUAUGUNGAUUUUANUAUCGUAGAUUAUNACUGAUUUGAUGAGGUUNGGUU